rnacentral:rRNA from 1 species
UACAGAGGGGGCAAGCGUUGUUCGGAAUUACUGGGCGUAAAGUGUGCGCAGGCGGCCGAGCAAGUCGAGUGUGAAAGCCCCGAGCUUAACUUGGGAACUGCGCUCGAAACUACUUGGCUAGAGUGUGGCAGAGGGAGGUGGAAUUCCACGUGUAGCGGUGAAAUGCGUAGAGAUGUGGAGGAACACCGAUGGCGAAGGCAGCCUCCUGGGCCAACACUGACGCUCAUGCACGAAAGCGUGGGGAGCAAACAGG